UACGUAGGGGGCAAGCGUUGUCCGGAUUUACUGGGCGUAAAGAGCGCGUAGGCGGAAGCUUAAGUGUGGCCUGAAAGCCCCCGGCUCAACCGGGGAGGGUGGCUGCAAACUGGGCUUCUUGAGGGCGGCAGAGGAGAGUGGAAUUCCUGGUGUAGCGGUGAAAUGCGUAGAGAUCAGGAGGAACACCCGUGGCGAAGGCGGCUCUCUGGGCCGGCCCUGACGCUGAGUGCGCGAAAGCUAGGGUAGCAAACGGG
rnacentral:rRNA from 1 species